rnacentral:rRNA from 1 species
GACAGAGGUGCCGAGCGUUAGGCGGAAUCACUGGGCUUAAAGCGUGUGUAGGCGGGUCGUUAAGUGCCUUGUGAAAUCCCACGGCUCACCCGUGGAACUGCCUGGCAUACUGCGAUACUCGAGUGUGGUAGGGGAGAGCGGAACUCCUGGUGGAGCGGUGAAAUGCGUAGAUAUCAGGAGGAACACCGGUGGCGAAGGCGGCUCUCUGGUCCACAACUGACGCUGAGGUGCGAAAGCUAGGGGAGCAAACGGG